AUGGCGGCGGAGGACGGCGCGAGGUCGCCCACCAGGAUGCUGGCGGAGGGGCAUCUGCGGAUCGCCACAGGCGGGCGGGCGCCGGCGGACGGCGGGAUCGCCGUCCGCCACAUCCCACACCACCACACCGCUAAGAAAGAAGAUGUUGGUGGGAAAAUUGAACAAGACAACCUUGGAGAUGCAAAUCUGUUACCAUCCCAAGAGUUGGGCAAAUUAGUUAAUGGAACUAAAAAGGUUCCUGCUACAUUAGAUGACUACAGGAAGCUUGUAGUUCCAGUAAUUGAGGAGUAUUUUAGUACAGGAGAUGUGGAACUGUCAGUUUCCGAGCUAAGGAGUCUUGGAUCCGAUCAGUUUCACAAUUACUUUGUGAAGAAGCUCAUAUCCAUGGCAAUGGACCGCCAUGAUAAAGAAAAAGAAAUGGCGUCAAUUCUGCUGUCUGCCUUGUAUGCUGAUCUAUUGGACUCCUCCAAGAUGAGUGAAGGUUUUAUGAUGCUUCUAGAGUCAACAGAAGAUCUGUCUGUGGAUAUACCAGACGCUAUUGAUGUCUUGGCUGUUUUUGUGGCACGUGCCAUUGUUGAUGAAAUACUGCCUCCUGUUUUUCUCACUCGAGCCAGAGCAUUGCUUCCAGAAUCUUCAAAAGGUAUUGAGGUUCUGCAGGUUGCUGAGAAGAGCUACUUGUCAGCUCCUCACCAUGCAGAGUUAGUUGAACGCAAGUGGGGUGGGAGCACACACUUCACUGUUGAAGAGGCGAAAAAGAGGAUCCAGGAUAUUCUGAGGGAGUACAUUGAGAGUGGAGACACAGAUGAAGCCUUUAGGUGCAUAAGGGAGCUGGGCCUUCCAUUCUUCCACCAUGAGGUUGUGAAACGUGCUCUCAUCCUUGGUAUCGAGAAUCUGUCGUCACAGCCAUUAAUCCUGAAGUUGUUGAAGGAAUCAACGACGGGUUGUUUGAUCAGUUCUAAUCAAGUGUCGAAGGGUUUUUCUCGGGUUGCGGAGACUGUUGAUGACCUGAGCCUUGAUGUUCCUUCAGCCAAAACACUUUUUGACAAGCUGCUUUCCGCAGCCAUAUCUGAAGGGUGGCUUGAUGCUUCAUUCUGUAAAUCUGCUGCCCCUGGUGAAGAUAUGUGGAAUGCAAGCAGUGAAAAGGUGAAGCAUUUUAAAGAAGAGUCUGGUCACAUAAUUCAGGAGUAUUUCCUCUCAGAUGACGUCCCGGAACUCAUUAGAAGCCUUCAAGAGCUUUCUGCCCCUGAAUACAACGCCAUUUUCCUUAAGAAGCUCAUCACGCUUGCUAUGGACAGGAAGAACAGGGAGAAGGAGAUGGCUUCUGUACUUCUUUCUUCACUCAGCCUGGAACUAUUUUCCACAGGUGAUAUCAUGAAGGGAUUCAUAAUGCUCCUGCAGUCAGCAGAAGACACCGCCCUCGACAUUGUGGAUGCUCCUAGUGAACUCGCCCUCUUCCUGGCCAGGGCAGUGAUCGAUGAAGUCUUGCUUCCACUGAAUUUGGAUGACAUCAGUAGCAAGCUGCGCCCAAACAGCAGUGGUAGUCAAACUGUCCAGAUGGCCAGCUCUCUGCUUGCGGCCCGCCAUUCCGGUGAGAGGAUACUGCGCUGCUGGGGUGGGGGCACUGGCUGGGCUGUGGAAGAUGCAAAGGACAAGAUCUCCAAGCUCCUUGAGGAGUACAACACAGGCGGCGACCUGAAGGAAGCCUGCCAGUGCAUCCGCGACCUUGGGAUGCCCUUCUUCAACCAUGAAGUGGUGAAGAAAGCGCUGGUGAUGGCGAUGGAGAAGCAGAAUGAAGCUAGCAUCUUGGCUCUGCUGCAGGAGUGCUCCAGCGAGGGGCUGAUUACCAUCAACCAGAUGACCAACGGCUUCGCCCGCGUCAAGGAAGGCCUCGACGAUCUGACCCUCGACAUCCCGAACGCGCAGGAGAAGUUCAGAGGCUAUGUGGAGCUCGCGACAGAGCGCGGCUGGCUGCUACCUUCCUUCGCCUCCCUGCCCUGA
rnacentral:rRNA from 1 species